UACGUAGGGUGCAAGCGUUGUCCGGAAUUAUUGGGCGUAAAGAGCUCGUAGGCGGUCUGUCGCGUCGGCUGUGGAAUCCCGAGGCUCAACCUCGGGUCUGCAGUCGAUACGGGCAAACUUGAGUGUUGCAGGGGAGACUGGAAUUCCUGGUGUAGCGGUGAAAUGCGCAGAUAUCAGGAGGAACACCGGUGGCGAAGGCGGGUCUCUGGGCAACAACUGACGCUGAGGAGCGAAAGCGUGGGGAGCGAACAGG
rnacentral:rRNA from 1 species